GACGAACGCUGGCGGCGUGCCUAAUACAUGCAAGUCGAGCGGACUUUCAAGAAGCUUGCUUUUUGAAAGUUAGCGGCGGACGGGUGAGUAACACGUGGGCAACCUGACUGCAAGACGGGGAUAACUCCGGGAAACCGGGGCUACUACCGGAUAAUAUAUUCCUUCGCAUGAAGGCAGGUUGAAAGGCGGCGCAAGCUGCCGCUUGCAGAUGGGCACGCGGCGCAUUAGCUAGUUGGUGAGGUAACGGCUCACCAAGGCGACGAUGCGUAGCCGACCUGAGAGGGUGAGCGGCCAAACUGGGACGGGAACACGGCCCAGACUCCUACGAGAGGCAGCAGUAGGGAAUCUUCCGCAAAGGACGAAAGGCGGACGGAGCAACGCCGCGUGAGCGAAGAAGGUCUUCGGAUCGUAAAGCUCUGUUGUCAGGGAGGAACAAGAACCGUUCGAACAGGGCGGUACCAUGACGGUACCUGAACAGAAAGCCACGGCUAACUACGUG
rnacentral:rRNA from 1 species